GAAAUACUUUGCUAAAAAAAAAAAGGUAUUCAUUAGGGGCUCGAAAUAACAAGACAAGAAGAACAAAUGACCUUCAAAUAAAGACGAUGCUAAACAUACCCAGGCUGAGAUUAGCGUUUGCAUGACACUCCUGCCCCACUUAGGAUCACACCAAACCGGGCCAGCUGAUAAGAUUCUGUUGAACAGUAAAGCAUCCCCGCACCUCGAGGGACAGGCGGCCUCUCACAGAGCCGCCAUGUGACCGAUUGUCAUCACACAAACCACAGGUCCGCUGCCAGCCGCUGAGAGCUCCAGACCUGCCAAAGAUAGCAACAAGCCCGCCUGCAUGGGACUAUGAGCGCUGCUGCAGAGAGAGGACGAAUAAGUACACGCCGACCGCAGAGAGAGCGGCCCUCUGUGAAGACUCUCAGUUCAGCGUGUCAAAUGACGGGCUGCAAUCUCGCGACUCCAGCCCGCCUUUAACCCAACAUCCGUCGGCUGCCUUGAACAGUUGAUGAAUGGCUCCAUCAGGGUGAACGUGGCAGCCGUUUAAUGUGAAAUGCUUGUGAGGAUUAAGCUGCACAUAAAUCUUGAUUAAGGAGACGCCAUGUGCCGCGUCGUGAGACAGCACAUUGAUGACUGCUCUGCUGAUGAUGAUGAUGAUGAUGCCAAUGGGAGCAGAUACUGUAGAUAAAGUGGGUGGAAACUGUAUAUUCAUGUUGUUAGCGCUCAUUAAGUGUGGAUCAUUGGUGCAUGUUGAGUUUCUGUUAUGAAGCUUCAUGAAACAUCUGUUAACCAGAAGUUUAAGUUUAGAGGGUGAAAUCAUUGAAUGUGACUUUACACUGUAUCUUAUCUUGUUUUCACUCUACAUUUAACCCUGUGAGUGUGGCUGGUUGUCUGUCUCUAUAUGUCAUC